rnacentral:rRNA from 1 species
GUAUAUGAGGUGAUUAAUUGGAGGGCAAAUCAAGUGCCAGCAGCCGCGGUAAUACUUGUUCCAAGAGUGUGUAUGAUGAUUGAUGCAGUUAAAAAGUCCGUAGUUUAUUUUUUUAAGAAGCAAUAUGAGGUGUACUGUAUAGUUGGGAGAAAGAUGAAAUGUGACGACCCUGACUGGACGAACAGAAGCGAAAGCUGUACACUUGUAUGUAUUUUUUGAACAAGGACGUAAGCUGGAGGAGCGAAGAUGAUUAGAUACCAUUGUAGUUCCAGCAGUAAACUAUGCCGACGAUGUGAUAUGAAAGUAUUAAUUUGUAUUACAUAAUAGAAAUUUGAGUUUUUUGGCUCUGGGGAUAGUAUGAUCGCAAGAUUGAAAAUUAAAGAAAUUGACGGAAGAAUACCACAAGGAGUGGAUUGUGCGGCUUAAUUUGACUCAACGCGAGGUAACUUACCAAUAUUUUAUUAUUUUGAGAGAACGGUUUUUUGUUUGAGAAUGAUAAUAGUGGUGCAUGGCCGUUUUCAAUGGAUGCUGUGAAGUUUUGAUUAAUUUCAACAAGACGUGAGACCCUCAUUUUUUAUUGAAGACAGACACAAUCAGUGUAGGAAGGAAAGGAUUAAAACAGGUCCGUUAUGCCCUCUGACAUUUUGGGCUGCACGCGCAAUACAAUAGAUAUA